rnacentral:rRNA from 1 species
UACGUAGGGCGCAAGCGUUGUCCGGAAUUAUUGGGCGUAAAGAGCUCGUAGGCGGUUUGUCGCGUCUGUCGUGAAAGCUUGGGGCUUAACCCCAAGUCUGCGGUGGAUACGGGCAGACUAGAGGCAGGUAGGGGAGAACGGAAUUCCCGGUGUAGCGGUGGAAUGCGCAGAUAUCAGGAGGAACACCGGUGGCGAAGGCGGGACUCUGGGCCGAUACUGACGCUGAGGAGCGAAAGCGUGGGGAGCAAACAGG